rnacentral:lncRNA from 1 species
AUGUUUUCCCCUCCCUGGAUCAGCUGUGCACCUGGUGGACAAGACGAUCUCGUUUCUUUGAGCCUGUGUAAACACUGACCUUCAGUUCACGCCCUGCAUGCUCAGGUUCAUCCUAGAGCCCCUCCCACCUUCCUCCUUCCUGCCUGUCCUCCACAUUUCCCCUGGAAGGGGUGGUGCUCAGGCCCAGGUCCUUCAAGGCUGUGAGGCACGUUUUACUGAUGAGCUACAAUCCCCAACCCCAAAGACUAAUUUUCUAUAGUCUGUGUCACACCCUGUAUGGGACAGGUUAGUAUUAGGUGUCCUGCGUGCCAUCCUUCUAGGAUUUUUCGUGCUUUCCUGUAUUUGUUUCUCUGUGGAGCACAGCACUUCCUUCCAGCGCGUCAGCACCAGUUGUAGGAAAGAAUUGCUUCCCUUCCCUUCACAUCUUCCAAUCGGAGUUUUUAAAACUGGGAUAUUUCUUGACAAUUUGGUUAUUAUGAACACACACAGGGAUACCAAUCUCCAUUACACACACACACACACACACACACACACACACACACACACACUGCAAAUUAGGAACUUCAAGAUUCAAUGGAGUGGGUGUUAGGGAGUUUCCAUCUUGAUACGUUGGCAUUCUGAGCUAGGUGUGUCCAGGUCAUAUUAUGUAUUAUUUAGUAGCAUUGUUGAUUUCUAGUCACAACUCCCAAAUCAUCUUCCCAAGCUAUGACAACCAAAAGUUCCUCUAGACAUUGUCAUGUAUUCCCUGGGGGGGGGGGGAGGGCACUACCAACCCUUCUCUAUUUCUAAACCUCGAGCUAUAAUCAUAUUUAAGCAUUAUUGAUGGAUCUGCUCCUCCCAAGUCCAAUAGUGUACUCUAUUCUGCAGGAUUCAUAGCCUCCCCCCACCCCCAGCCUGGAACUCUCUGUCCUGCAGCCCCAGCCUCCUGAGUUCAGGUUUUAUAGGCAUCCGUCACCAUACUUACAUCAGGAUUUACUGUUUACGAGCAGUAUUUUAACAGGACUUUCAUUUGCUGUGCUGAGGCUUGAAGCCACCCUUGCUACAGGGACACGCACUUGGAGGGAAGCUCUUAGUAACCUGAGGCAGCCACUGAUCACAUAGUAAGCUUGAGACUAGCCUUUCUACGUGAGACUUGAGUUAGGUUGCACUUUGUAUUUGGGUUUUGAAUCUGGUUAGCAAUCACUGACGUGUGCCUUCUCUAGAGCUCUGUCAUUGCCUUAUGUCCUGUCACCCUUUGUGCUUCAGAGUGUAUUUCCACUCAAGUGACCAUGAGUGGGAACAAGGUGGUCAAACCGGGAAAGCAGUUUCUUAAGCAGAACCUGUAUCGGAUCCAAAUCUUCAGUGUAGAAAAUGUUCUUAGCAUCUGGAAAAUAUAUGUUGUUUUCUGGCAUUUCCUCUCUUUCUAACUACCCUACCCUGACCCAAGACUUUCUAUUUACAUGGACUUUUCUUAGUUAGGUGGGACUGGCGCCUUCAUGCCAGAGUCGCUGAAUGGCCUCUGAACUGGAGUGAGCACUAUCCAGAAAGGGUUGACACGGGAGAGCCAUCCUUUCCUGGAGGCUUGAGGUUAUGUUACAGUAAUUGUGGAGUUUUGUUGCUUUAAAAUCCUCCUUCUCUUCUCAAGGGCAAGAUUGCCAAAGUGUAGCAUCGCAUUUGGGGUGGGGGUUGUUAAAACUUCUGAGUUUCAAUAACUUCUUGCUCGUUGCAUGGGAACCAACCCCCUCCCCAUGGAUGUGCACGUGCACACCUGUUGCUGGUGAAGAGCAUUCAAUGGUGCUGUAAAUGACGUGUUUUGAAAACUAGAAAUGCCAAUCAGAUGUUCGUGGAAAUUAAACAGACAGCUCAAAGC